GAGCAUGUGCAAAAGCUUUAAGGGCUUCUUUGUGCUGGCCCUUAGCUUCGUGAAGCAUACCUGCAUGUAUCACAUCAAGCAACACCUUACAGGUAAGAUGAUUGCAUGCACAACCACCACCACCAACAACUGGAAAUACAAGGACUCAAACAUACAUUGUACGAGAACAUGAAAAAGUAACCGUUCUUAUUUUUUCACCAGACAAGAGGACUAGCCACAAGAAAUUGGCAAAAGAUGGUGAACCAGAAAGUUUCUAUACCCUCACUUUCUGAUUCAUUUGACCCCUUUGAACAACAAAGCUUGCAAUAAUGACGCCAUUUACAGCUGGAGUAAAACUAUUAAACCACAACACCAACUUACCUUAACUGCAUGCUCCAAGGCAUAUGUCCUAUCAUCCAUAAUUAUCAUUAAUAAGGGUAUGAUGGAAUAUGAUAAAUCAACCAUCCUUGAAGACAUAAAAAGCACAUUAAUUCUUGUCCCUUCAAUCGCCAAAAGCAAUCUUUGAUAGAUUCUCUGAGUAGGUAUUAAGAGCUAAUUUAACUUUACUGAAUAAAUAUUUCCCCCCGACCAUCAUUCACAUAGACUGCAUCUCCAGUUGUUUUUAUAAUGGGAGACAAGAUUAAACCAACUUCGAAAGCAUUCAUGCAAAAUCUAAAAAGCAUCUCAAUCAAAAUCCCUUUCUCUUAUAUGAUCUCCCUUCUCCUUUCACAAUCAGAAGCAAGAUGCAAGAUACAAACAGAAUAUAGCAGAAUGAGGAAUACAAGUAUUCAUUUAUGUACCAGCAGUGUGCCACCUCAUAGCAGAAUGACGAUUUAUGCCUUCAGACUUGGAAAGACAGAUUUCAGCAUCCCUCCACUGAGACAAUCUAAUGUAGAUGGAAGCCAAAUCAUGCCAAGUUUCCAGCUCCAAAUUUCUAUUCUGUUUCCAUCCACCCUGUCACAUGAUCAACGCAUGAGAGAGAUAGAGUGUGUGUGUGUGUGUGUGAAUUUUAGAAUCUACAAAUGAACUCAAAAAGUUAAAAUUGUCUAACACGAUUUGAUCAAAACAAGUUAGGCAUACACAAAAGAAGAAUCUGUUAAACAUCUUUAAAUGAAGAGACAGGUGACAAUCCACUAAUUUGUCUAUAAUAUGCGACAUAUGCAUAACCUAAUCUACAUGAACAAACCAGAAGAAGCUAGCCAGCUGAGGUUCUGAAAGUUUAAGUUAGCUUCUGAAGAAAUUCAUGCUAUAAGUAGGAGCUAGUGCCUCUAACAUCACAUAAAGAAAGGUAAUUAUCAUGCAAGCUACCGAAUACCUAUGGGUGUAAUCUUUAUAAAUGCAUGGCCCAAAAGGCAACAUUACAAGUGCUACAAAUAAAAGCUUUUUUAUAAUAUUCAAAUUGUAAAACUGAGGCUGCAGAAGACAUUAAUUUAGCUAAUAAGCAAGUAUUAAACAUACCUCAAGCUUUUGCCCUGAACCAAAACUUUUGAGUUGAACUUGAAGAACAGCAAGAAGCUGAGUGUAGGUUUCUAUUGCAUUCUUGACUUGACCCUGUGCAAUUUGGAGUUUAGCUUUAGUUCUCAACAAAUCUCCCUGAUCCCAUCUUCCUGUCUGAUCUAGAGCUGCAUUAAUGAUACUUUCGGCAUCUACAAACCGUUUCUGAGCUGAUAAUAUGCGAGCACAUAAUAACCACGCCCUAGGAUUAGAACCAUUUUCCAAUUCGAGCAAGAAUUUUGCAUAAUAAAAUGCAGAAUCCAACUUCCUUUGUUCAGCAUUUUCUAAGCUAAGAUGGUAAAUAAUCAUGGGGUCCUUCAUCUGGGUAAUUUUACCGGCAAUUUCUAGGGAGUGAAGUGCCUCAGUCUGUCUCUGUACCCUCUGAGAAUCACUCACAGCUGAUCUGGAACUAUUUGAAAGUGAUAUACCCUUUAGAAAAUUGGCAACACCAGUCAACUGAUCACAUCUUCCUUUCAAGCUUUCAAUGGCUCGUUGAGCAAAGCUAAUCCCAUCUUCUGCAUAUGAACAGCUGUCCCCGCAAAGUUUGGAAGCCAAUAGCAAUGCUGGAACACAUGUUGGAUCAACCGCCCUACUCAACAACUUCCUCAACAAAUUCAAAGCAGCCCAUUCAUCGCCUUCUCCAUAAUAACAGAGGGCCAGCUUCUCAUACCUAUCUUUCUGUUCUAUUGUCCUCGGAAGCAAUUCUUCCACUUGGUAAGCUAAAGCCCUUAAACCCCCUGAUAUAGACAAUGCAUAAGUAAGGUGAUCCA
rnacentral:lncRNA from 1 species